rnacentral:rRNA from 1 species
CUUAGGGAUAAGGGGUGCCACCAUCAGGUGGCCGCAGAGAAUAGGCCCAAGCGACUGUUUACCAAAAACAUAGGUUUCUGCUAAGUCGCCAGACGAUGUAUAGGAGCUGACGCCUGCCCGGUGCUGGAAGGUUAAGGGGAUCUGUUAGAGCAAUCGAAGCAGUGAACUUAAGCCCCAGUAAACGGCGGCCGUAACUAUAACGGUCCUAAGGUAGCGA